rnacentral:rRNA from 1 species
UACGUAGGGUGCAAGCGUUAAUCGGAAUUACUGGGCGUAAAGCGUGCGCAGGCGGUGAUGUAAGACAGGUGUGAAAUCCCCGGGCUUAACCUGGGAACUGCAUUUGUGACUGCAUCGCUGGAGUGCGGCAGAGGGGGAUGGAAUUCCGCGUGUAGCAGUGAAAUGCGUAGAUAUGCGGAGGAACACCGAUGGCGAAGGCAAUCCCUGGGCCUGCACUGACGCUCAUGCACGAAAGGCGUGGGGAGCAAACAGG